AACUGCGAGUGAAGCGGGAAAAGCUCAAAUUUAAAAUCUGGUGGUCUUUGGCCAUCCGAGUUGUAAUCUAGAGAAGUGUUAUCCGCGCUGGACCGUGUACAAGUCUCCUGGAAUGGAGCGUCAUAGAGGGUGAGAAUCCCGUCUUUGACACGGACUGCCAGGGCUUUGUGAUGCGCUCUCAAAGAGUCGAGUUGUUUGGGAAUGCAGCUCAAAAUGGGUGGUAAAUUCCAUCUAAAGCUAAAUAUUGGCGAGAGACCGAUAGCGAACAAGUACCGUGAGGGAAAGAUGAAAAGAACUUUGGAAAGAGAGUUAAACAGUACGUGAAAUUGCUGAAAGGGAAACGCUUGAAGUCAGUCGCGUUGGCCGGGGAUCAACCUUGCUUUUGCUGGGCGUACUUUCCGGUUGACGGGUCAGCAUCAAUUUUGACCGUUGGAUAAAGUUCAGAGGAAUGUGGCAUCUUCGGAUGUGUUAUAGCCUUUGUUCGCAUACAACGAUUGGGAUUGAGGAACUCAGCACGCCGCAAGGCCGGGUAUUUAUACUACGUUCGUGCUUAGGAUGCUGGCAUAAUGGCUUUAAUCGACCCGUCUUGAAACACGGACCAAGGAGUCUAACAUGCCUGCAAGUGUUUGGGUGGAAAACCCGAGCGCGUAAUGAAAGUGAAAGUUGAGAUCCCUGUCGUGGGGAGCAUCGACCCCCGGACCAAACCUUUUGUGACGGAUCCGCGGUAGAGCAUGUAUGU
rnacentral:rRNA from 1 species